GAUGAACGCUGGCGGCAUGCCUAAGACAUGCAAGUCGAACGAGACGACCUUCGGAAGACCGAAGUGCUUGCACUGAAGUAAGAAGAAGAUCAUCGUCUAGUGGCAGACGGGUGAGUAACACGUGGGUAACCUACCUUCAAGCUGGGGAUAACAGUUGGAAACGACUGAUAAUACCGAAUAAGAUAUAGCAAUAUAUUGAAAAGGAGCCUUUAAAGCUCUACUUAAAGAUGGGCCUGCGGCGUAUUAACUAGUUGGUGAGGUAAAUCGGCUCACCAAGGUAACAUGCGUAGCCGAACUGAGAGGUUGACUCGGCCANACUGGGACUGAGACAGGCCCA
rnacentral:rRNA from 1 species